UUUUCCGGAGCAUAAUUACAGUAUUUCAAAUUUCAAACUGAAUUCGAGAAUGGGUCGACUUUGUUCUCGUUGUCUUGUUCCUGGUCACCGGGCCCGUUUCCUCUCAUCCAAGGUUUGUUGCCAGGCCUGUUUCAACUAUGGUCACUUUGAGAGAUGGUGUCUUUCCAAGACCCGGCCCAAAUUUUUUUGGGCCUCCAAGAGACCUCCCAGCCCAACAAUGGCCCCUGAUACUGAGGAAGCUGAUGCAGCUAACCAAGAGGCACGCUCCCUCGAUUCUUAUGUGGCUGUCACAAACUCUCCAUCUUCCACACCAGUGCCCCAUGUCCCAUCAUCACCGCCAAGCAGCAGUUGCUAAUCCCGAUCAACCCCCCCGGUCACCUCCACCACCAGACACCAUGGCCUACUUCCCCUACAACCCGA
rnacentral:lncRNA from 1 species